rnacentral:rRNA from 1 species
CGCUGGCGGCAUGCCUAACACAUGCAAGUCGAACGAAGGCUUCGGCCUUANUGGCGCACGGGUGAGUAACGCGUGGGAAACUGCCUAUCGGUGGGGAAUAACGACGGGAAACUGUCNCUAAUACCGCAUACGCCCUUCGGGGGAAAGAUUUAUCGCCGAUAUAUGUGCCCGCGUCCGAUUAGCUAGNUGGUGAGGUAAUGGCUCACCAAGGCGACGAUCGGUAGCUGGUCUGAGAGGAUGAUCANCCACACUGGGACUGAGACACGGNCCAGACUCCUACGGGAGGCANCAGUGGGGAAUAUUGGACAAUGGGCGAAAGCCUGAUCCAGCAAUGCCNCGUGAGUGAUGAAGGCCUUACGGUUGUAAAGCUCUUUCGGGUGGGACGAUGAUGACGGUACCACCANAANAAGCCCCGGCUAACUNCNUGCCAGCAGCCGCGGUAAUACNAAGGGGGCUAGCNUUGUUCGGAAUUACUGGGCGUAAANCGCANGCAGGCGGCUCGAUAAAUNAGAAGUGAAAGCCCCNUGGCUUAACCUGGGANUUGCUUUUAAGACUGUCGAGCUAGAAUCCAGANGAGGGU